AGUCUAGCCCACAGUAUUCAGGAAAAACUCUGCUGGAAUGUCCCUAACAAUCAGCUUACUAGUGAAAAAUGCAGAACAUAUUUGAGUCUAUCAUCCCAGUUAAUACAGUCUUUUUUUUUUUUCUAUCCCAUAUUCUUUCCAGUUUCUUGAGAAUAUGGAGUUGCAUCUGGUUGAUGCUAGGGGUGGGCUAGAGCUGUGAAUAUGAACUGCUUAGGCAAAACAAGUUACCUUGAAUUCAGAUAAACUUCCAUGUUUGCUCUGUUUCUGACAUUUUUUGUUCCAACUAGUGUUAUAAAACAGUUGUGUAAAAUAAGUACUAGUUCUGGCUUUAGUUACAGCUGUCUUUUCAGGCUGAGAGCUAAGCAGCAUCAUCAGGGUUUAGAGAAGCAAGCUUCAAGAUUGCUUAAAGAUAGAUUGUAGGACCAAGACACAGUGAAGUUGCUUUGGAAAUGCAAAGCUGGUGCAUGCCAUAAGUAGAAGUUUGUCUCAUAUUGUUUCUCAGCUGAGUAAGUGGCUGAUUUUCAUCUUGGAGUUGUGUAACAUUAUUUCUUUCUGCAGGAAUACCAUUGGGAUACCAACUGCUGAAUUUUCUUGGGAAAAAAAGAAUGCCAUGGGGCACUUCCAUCAUGGUAAUGGGACAGAGUUUACCUCUGAUACCAGAGUGGGGAGCUGUGGUCACCUUGCCUGGAUCAUGCAAAAGGUGAAGAGCAGAGGCCCCAUCUUCCAUCACUUGGCUCCCUACUGUGGGCACCUGCUCCCUGUGUGGCAUAAGGAGGGGAACUGGAUGUUCUUUCAAGAGGACCGGAAAUAACAUCAGCCCUUCUAUUCCGUCAGGGGACUUGCCCACUGGAAACUGGAGCAACAUUUAUCCUUGAAGAAUUUCCUGCGGUAGUUGUUCUUCCUCUCAAUUCAUGUACCCAUCUGCUAGGACAGAGGACCGCACAUGAUCUACACUGCUGAAUCAGAGUGUAAAGCUCCACCCCCGGGGAAGUUACCAGGGCAUUCCCAAGUAAACCUAAAGGUAUAUUAACCCGCUGAACUCCGUGUUUUGUGGGCUUUCUGCCAUCCAUGAUGGAUCAAGACUGCAACCAUCACUUUGACCAACGGACAUUGAAAUACCAACAAUCAAGUCUUGUCACUGGAUCCACGGGUGGUGAUAUCUUUCUACUCUUAUCCUUCCUUUCUUUUCCUUAUAUUUUCUUAAGUGAUAUUUUUAUGCUUUUAUAUUAUUAUAUUACUUUAGAUAAUAAUAACUAAAAGGGCUACAUACCUGCUCUUCAUUGCAACCAGACUGUUCUUAAAUAAACCCUACAUACAUAUAUAUAAACCUACAUAUUUAUAAACACUGGUCAUUCAGUGUCUUUUCACUCUAAUCUGCCCAAAGGGAUCUAUUAACUUGAAUUAUCCUUGUCCUCAGGCGUGGGUUGUAACAGACAUGAAUGCAAAUAAAUUGUUGUAUGACAAUGGUGUGG